AACGAACGCUGGCGGCAUGCCUAACACAUGCAAGUCGAACGAGACCUUCGGGACUAGUUGCGCACGGGUGCGUCACGCGGGGGAACCUGCCCUUAGGUUCGGAAUAACUCCCUGAAAGGGGUGCUAAUGCCGGGAAAUUUCUUCUGACCAAGGAUUUACCGCCUUUGGGGGGGCCGGCGUUGGUUUAGCCUGUUGGUAUUGGAAAAGCCUACCACGGCGACGCUCCAUAGCUGGUCUGAGAGGAUGCUCAGCGACACUGGGACUGAGCCACGGCCCAGAAUCCUACGGGAGGCAGCAGUGGGGAAUACUGGACAAUGGGCUAAAGCCUGAUCCAGCAAUGCCGCGUGAGUGAUGAAGGCCUUAGAGUUGUAAAGCUCUUUUAUCCGGGAUGAUAAUGACAGUACCGGGAGAAUAAGCACCGGCUAACUCCGUG
rnacentral:rRNA from 1 species